rnacentral:rRNA from 1 species
AAACCGCCCAGAGGUAAACGGGUGGGACCACAAUGCGGUCGGCCCGGGGAAUUCAACCGGCCGGAAAGCGGCGCGGGCGGGAUGCCGCGGAGCCGUCGAGGCCCGCGCGACUCGUCUCCGAGCGCCGCCCGGGUCGGUGCACUUUCUCCGGGUCGACGGUCACGGCCGGCUCUCCGGCGGCCAGAAGCCAUGUUCGGGGGAAGGUGGACUCGAGCUCACGCUCGAGGAGCUUACAGCCCUCUGCAUGCGCAGGCCCGUCGGAGGGCCGAGGAAGGGAAUCGUUCGCCGCGCCCCAACCGCUCUUCGGGCUACCCGCGUCCGGCACGACCGGGCUGGACUGGCUCGUCCAGUGCUCUCCCGACCGCGGGCACGGGCGGGUUCGAUGCAGCGAGGGGCGCCGACGGCCCGUGACGAAUCGGUUGGCAACCCACCCGACCCGUCUUGAAACACGGACCAAGGAGUCUAACAUGUGCGCGAGUCGAUGGGAUCCGUACGAAACCCACAGGCGCAAUGAAAGUGAAGGCCGCCCUCCUCUCGGGGAGGGUGCCUAGGUACGAUCCCCCGUCCGCUAGCGCGGCGGAGGCGCAGUACCGGCCCGUCUCGUCCGCACCCGUCGGUGAGGCGGAGCAAGAGCGUACACGUUGGGACCCGAAAGAUGGUGAACUAUGCUUGAGUAGGACGAAGCCAGAGGAAACUCUGGUGGAGGUCCGUAGCGAUUCUGACGUGCAAAUCGAUCGUCAAACUCGA